GAAACUUUCCUCGCCGAACUUCGCGGCCGGGCGGGCUGGGGAGGGGCCCCGGCGGGCAGGGACGCCCCCGGCCGCAGCGGGGCAGGUCUCAAAUCAUCUCCCGCGCUGUUGGGACAGCACGCAGCGAUCUCUUCCCCAGCCAGCGCAGCACCGCCUCCGGUAGGAAGCUAAACAACGCCCACCAGCUGAAACCCAGCGUUCCAGAGCAAGAGGGUAGGGAGCUGGGUGCUGCUCAGAUUUCCAAGGGGGCUGAGCUAGGCAGAGAGUGUAAUUACCCUGUCCAAAGCUUAGAUGUUGAAAAGUGCUCCGGGAUCUGUAACGGCCAUAGGCAGCCAAGACCUGUGUGCAGGGAUGUUCCCUUGGAUUUUCAAUCCUGGCGCUAAACUGUCCUGCCCUUGCUUAGUUUGGGUUGUCUGAAUACAUAUAACCUCACCGUGGUGCUAUACAUUUUCUCUGGUUUAUCUCACUUAAGGGUCUCCCUAGUCACAGUUCAUUAUAGGAGCUAGUAGCUCAGAGAAAGCCUAGGGAGAGAAGAUUUUUCCCUUAAACCCAACCAUGGAUCCAUUUUAAAGUUCUAGUGAGUAAUGAGUAUUUCUCACACCUGUAGCUUGUCUGGCUACCCAGUAGAAAUAAAAGGGCAGGAAGGAGAGUAUGAAGUAGAAUAUGGCACUCUUUUGCUAUUUCAGGGGAGUUGAGCAUAUUUCCCCUUUUAGAUAACCUGGCAGGCAUGUGAUCCCAUGUUAACCAUAUGCCUUAACAAAAAAAAAUGAAACCUCAUAUUUAAAUUAUGGCUGUAUUAGUCCCUGAUGGCCGGUGAGAUUUUAGAGAAAAACAACAUGCCAACUGAAUUUUGGUUUCCAGAUGUAAUACACUCAGAAGAUUGUAAUGAGGGUCACUGAAGCUUCUAGUAAGGAUAUACAGAUUAACCUUCUGGGUGUUGUUGAUUUAAUUUCACUCAGUAAGUACAUGCAGCAAACAUAUGUCUUCAGAUUGAUCUACUCAGGCCGUAUCCAUCAACUAAAUAAACUUAUAUAUAACACUGAA